ACUCCUACGGGAGGCAGCAGUAGGGAAUCUUCCACAAUGGGCGCAAGCCUGAUGGAGCAACACCGCGUGAGUGAAGAAGGGUUUCGGCUCGUAAAGCUCUGUUGUUAAAGAAGAACACGUAUGAGAGUAACUGUUCAUACGUUGACGGUAUUUAACCAGAAAGUCACGGCUAACUACGUGCCAGCAGCCGCGGUAAUACGUAGGUGGCAAGCGUUAUCCGGAUUUAUUGGGCGUAAAGAGAGUGCAGGCGGUUUUCUAAGUCUGAUGUGAAAGCCUUCGGCUUAACCGGAGAAGUGCAUCGGAAACUGGAUAACUUGAGUGCAGAAGAGGGUAGUGGAACUCCAUGUGUAGCGGUGGAAUGCGUAGAUAUAUGGAAGAACACCAGUGGCGAAGGCGGCUACCUGGUCUGCAACUGACGCUGAGACUCGAAAGCAUGGGUAGCGAAC
rnacentral:rRNA from 1 species